rnacentral:lncRNA from 1 species
AUUCUAAAUUUAACUCAGGGAAACGGGGUAUUACAUCCCUCCCUCCUUAUAAAAAUUCCGUCCUCGGAAUUGCAUAUCCGGUAUUCUAUCUUGUGAUACUAGUCAUUCGUUUCAUUCAUCUUUUUUUUGUGGCCUUUUCCAUCCUGUGAUGGUUCCACUACAUGACGAGAACAAUAUUAUUGCCUCGUAAAACUUGAAUCUUGCGAUCAAGUAUCUGGACUGAUUUCUCAUCACAACUUAGGUCCUGGCUAGGACUACUUUAUCUUGCUUAAUCACAUGCUUUCUUAAUUGCGAGGUGUUAUACGUAUUGUAUACAUCCACAAUGCUUGGUGGCAGAGCCAACUUAUAGGCUACAAAGG